GCUCACUACUGAGCACGGGUCUUCUCAGAAUGAAAAGGAUUUGACUAAGUCCACCAUGCUAGCCAAGUACGGAUUAACAGACUUCACACACCUUUGAGAACAUUAUGGGGAACUCUGAGGCAUGCAGGUUUCCGCACGAUGUUUUCCUUCACCGUUAAAGCAAGUUAUAUU